ACAGAGGGUGCGAGCGUUAAUCGGAAUUACUGGGCGUAAAGCGAGCGUAGGUGGCUUGAUAAGUCAGAUGUGAAAGCCCCGGGCUUAACCUGGGAACGGCAUCUGAUACUGUUAGGCUAGAGUAGGUGAGAGGAAGGUAGAAUUCCAGGUGUAGCGGUGAAAUGCGUAGAGAUCUGGAGGAAUACCGAUGGCGAAGGCAGCCUUCUGGCAUCAUACUGACACUGAGGUUCGAAAGCGUGGGUAGCAAACAG
rnacentral:rRNA from 1 species